AGAGUUUGAUCCUGGCUCUGAAUGAAUGCUCGUGAACCAGUAUUACACAUGCUAGUUAAUUAAAAUUUAGUGAAUAGAUUUUAUGGCGAAAAGGUGAGUAAAGUUAAAGAAAUUUGAAAUUGUUGUUUAAAAUAAACGAUAAUUAUAGGAGUGCCCUUUUAAUAAAAGGUGAAACUAUAAAAAAGUAGGAAGACGCAAAAAAAAAUUCUUUUGAGGGAUUAGGUAGUUUGUGAUGGUAAAAGCUUACAAAGCCAACAAUCCAUAACGGGUGUGGGAGCAUGUGCCGUCACAGCGGGGUUGAAAUAGGACCCGAACCUUUCAGUUAUUGGGGCAGCAGUGGAGGAUUUUGGACAAUGAACGAAAGUUUGAUCCAGUUAGGUUGCGUAUUGUAAGACGAUAACAUUGUAAGCAAUGUAGGAAUAGGAAAAAGAUGAUAUUACUAUUGACGAAAAGGUCCGGCUAAUAUUCGUGCCAGCAGCCGCGGUUAAACGGAUGGACCAAGUGUUAUUCAUCUUAACUGGGUGUAAAUGCAUGUAGCCGGUUUAUUGUAUAAAAAUCAAAAUAUACCCAAAAUAGGGUAGUGUGAUUGCAAAAUUAAUAAUCUAGGAGUUUUUUAGAUUCAGAUAGGCAGUUCUUGAGUAUGGGUAGAAUCAGUUGAUAGAAGAAAGACGACCUAAGGUGAAAACAUAUUGAAAUAAAAAACUAACGGUGAGGUGCGAAAGUGUAGGUAUCGAAUAGGAUUAGGUACCCUUGUAGUCUACACCCUGAACUAUGUGCAUUAAAUAUUGUAAUAAGUGAAGUACAGUAUUUGAAGUUAAUGUCCAAAUGCACUGCCUAGGAACUACAGCCGCAAGGUUAAAACUUAAGGGAAUUGACGGUAAGCUCGUCUCUAGCAGUGGGGCAUGUGGUUUAAUUUGUUUCAACGCGCCAAAUCUUACCCGUAUGUCGCGGUCUCUUAUAGUACUUAAAAGGGUAUUAUAUAAGUAGGGACAAUUUGACGCUUGGCUUCUGCAUGGCUACAGUCAGCCCGUGUCUUGAGAUGUUAGGUUCAAUCUCGUAACGGGCGUAACCCUUAUCUUUUUGUAGAAUAUAGAAACAACUUGCGUAGCAAGGGGAAGUGAGGAUGAAGGUAAGUCAGUAUGGGGCAACGUAAACGGGGCUACACAUUUGCUACAAUGGAGAUUACAGAAUAAUUAAGACUAUGUGAAUAAGAUUUUAUUAUAAAAAUUUCCGAAGUUCCGAUUGUUUUCUGAAACUCGAAAACAUGAAGGUGGAAUUGCUAGUAAUCGCUUAUCACCAUGAAGCGGUGAAUCUAUUUAUGCUUACGUACAAACUGCCCGUCAGGCGAUAAAAGUGCUAUUUUUGGAAAGCCACGGUGGAAGUGAAUUUUGUUUAAAUAUAGUCUUGUAUAUAAGGCUAUAAGUAUAACAAUAG
rnacentral:rRNA from 1 species